rnacentral:rRNA from 1 species
CCUACGGGAGGCAGCAGUGGGGAAUCUUGCGCAAUGGGCGAAAGCCUGACGCAGCGACACCGCGUGGGGGACGAAGGCCUUUCAGGUCGUAAACCCCUUUCGGCAGGGACGAAGCGAUCUCGUGACGGUACCUGCAGAAGAAGCCUCGGCUAACUACGUGCCAGCAGCCGCGGUAAU